rnacentral:rRNA from 1 species
CAUGGAGGGUGAGAAUCCCGUCCGGCUGACCUUCAGGACGUUUUACGAUACGCUCUCAAAGAGUCGAGUUGUUUGGGAUUGCAGCUCAAAAUGGGAGGUAAAUUUCUCCUAAGGCUAAAUACCGGCGAGAGACCGAUAGCGAACAAGUACCGUGAGGGAAAGAUGAAAAGAAUUUUGAAAAGAAAGUCAAACAGUACGUGAAAUUGUUGAAAGGGAAACGAUUGAAGCCAGUCGUACCGACGGGAAUUCAACUUCUCGAGUGCUAAUCGUGGGUGACGUUGAGCCUCACGGCCUUCGUUGCUUGUGUUGUUGGUGCUUUUGGGGUGUACUUUUCCGUAUUGGUAGGUCAGCAUCGAUUUCGAUCGUCAUAAAAUGAUCGGGGGAAUUUAGCUUCGGUCUCGUAUCGGAGUGUUAUAGACCUUGGUAGAUGUGACGAUUGGGAUCGAGGAUUGCAACGAAUACCCUCUGGGCUAUCCGUCUGACCUCUGAAAGUCGCUCGGGUGUCGAAAGCGUGCUUAUGGCUAUUCGAGUUGGCGGUCAACAGGUUAGAACGCGAUUACAUUCGUUAAGGAUGUUGACGUAAUGG